UAAUUGUGGUGCUUGUUUAAUAUUUAGCCAUAUUUAGCCAUAUUGAACCAUAUACCGUUUGUCCUUUUCAUCCUUCUAAAUUGAUUACAGUGAUUACUGAUUCUCCUUCUUCUCCGAAAUGGGUUGGCUUUUGUUCUUAAGAAAUUCAAUUCAACUUCCCUUCUAAUCGUUCCUAUUGUUGGGUUUAGGUUUGAUCUACAACGAUUGUUGAAAAUAGCCCUCCCUAUUUUCGAUUCUGUAUGUGCAUCUUCACCAUUGUUUGGUGCGCUCAAAGUCAAAGGGGCUCUGAAAUACCGUGUAUGCUCAAGUUUUUCGGAUCAAGAAGAUGGUGGAGACUGGCAGAGGACAUACCAGGCCACUAGUGUCGUGAUAUGGACAUUGGACCUCAAUUUUUUCAAAGAGCUUAAUGUGGUUUCGACUCGUUCUUGAAGUGUUGAUAAUUCGAUUAUACCGGAAAAGUUUUCGUAUUUGAAAGCAUUUUCUUUUUCAUCAGCUUUGAAAACAUUAGCUCAACCUCCUUGUUCUCAGUUCACUAAGAAAGUUUUUGUCAAUGGGGAUGGUCAAGGAAUGAGAUCAAAGAUUUGGCAGAGAUAAUUAACGAAAUGCAUAUAAAGACCACUUUGAGCAUUGCAUUGGGACCCAUUCUCGAUGAUUUCAUGUCAUCCACAAUAGUGAAGAUGCCCAUGUGAAUAGAACUCAUAACAGACCUCUCUGUAGGAGAAGCUUCAUAAAUUCCCAAAACCGUUCGCUGGGAGUAACAGAACAUUAGAACAUAUAUAAAAGCAGGUUUUUUUAUUGUUUUGUUGACUUGUCUAACCUAUAUUCAUCUGCCUACCCCACGUAGACUUUGAAGAUCAAUUCAAUUCAAGAGGAAGAUACUCAUAGAUGCAUUCAUGGAAGCUGAUUUUGAACUUCUCACCUCACUUAUAGGGCUGUUGAAAAAUGGUAAAAAAGAGCAUUCAUAUAGUUUUUCUUUCCAUGAAAGGAGUACUACUAGUUUCUAGUUUUGUCUUGGGCAAUCAUAUCAUCUUUGUUUGCUAUAUACCUUAACAAAAGCUCAAUCUGAUGUGAACAAUUCAUAUAAAAAUAUCUAAAACACACAAAUAAACAAACAAUCAAACCAGCAAUCUGUAUAUCAUUACACUGAUUCUAAACUCUCCUCUCCGGGACUCUGUUCUUCCUUGCUUUGGAGGAAGUUGAUAAGACCUUGAAGUGAAACUUCAGCAUUGUCAUUCUUCAUCAGCUCUCCACCAAUUUCCGCAGGAGUUGCGCGAACCUUCUCCAGCAAUUUCUCAAUUUCCCCAAACAAAGUGUGCUUCUUAAUCUGUAAGUACUUAUUUGCUAGUAUCUUGAAUCCAUUGAAAUCACAGUAAGACAGAUGGAGAUGCAGAUCCAUUCGACCAGGUCUCAGUAGAGCCGGAUCCAAUCGGUCCUUGUGAUUGGUAGUGAACACAACGAUUCUCUCGUCUCCGCAACUAGACCACAAGCCAUCAAUGAAGUUCAACAGACCAGAGAGAGUAAUCUGUAAAAGGAAAACAACACCAUACCAUAUCAUGGAGUUAGCACAAACUCUUGUGUAAACAAAGAACAAUUUUCUCUUUUUACUACCUUAUCACCAUCUUCAACGUGUUUGAAUUCAUUAUCUGAAUUCCUAUUUUGCAACUCAACUGAACAGUCAAUGUCCUCAAUCACUAAUAUGGAUCGGUUCCCAGUGCCAAUCAACAACCUCCUCAAAUCCGAAUCGCAUUGGACUUCUUUUAAAUCCAAGUCAUAGAUGUCAAACUUGAGAUAGUUGGCCAUGGCAGCAACCAAGCUCGACUUUCCUGUACCAGGCGGUCCAUACAACAAAUACCCACGUUUCCAAGCCUUCCCUACUCUUCUGUAAUACUCUUUUCUCGAUAUAAAUCUAUGGAGGUCAUCAAUCAAUGUCUUCUUCAUGUCGGGGUCCAUGGCCAUAGUUUCGAAGGUAGCAGGAUGAUCCAGGUUUAUCCAACUCCAGUAAUCACUCCCAUUAUAAUCCACAGUAUGAAGCUUCACACACUUUCUUUCUUCUUUAAGCCAUUUAGCUUUCUCCAAAACGUAGGGCAGGUAAGAAUCCAGAGCCAAUUCCCUGUGUUUUUUACGAAAGCUUAGCUCGUAGUGUCGUAUCUCCUUCUGGGCAAAUCCGCUACUGUGAUCUCCUCGCCUGCCACUACUAGAAAACGACGAGCCGUUUCUGGAGGAGACCAAAACCCAACUGAAUUUGACCCCCUUAAACGAAUCUUCCAUUUCUUGAUUUAUGUCUAUGGUCACUGCCAGCUGCUUCUCCUUCUCCAACUUCUUGACUUUGAUUCUGUCAGUUGAGGCAUAUUGGGUGGCGCCCAAGUAAAUGGUGGCAGACUCGAACAACUGGUUCGCUGUGAGACCGUCGAACUCGUCGACUACGACGGUGACGUGGGGUGAUAAUCGGGUGUAGAGUUUGUGAACGCGCGUGAUGAACAGCUCCUGGACAGCGUCUGGGAUAAGAUUCUCAGUGACGGAUCGGAGAAGAACCGCUGAGGCGGUGAGUGAGGCAGCCACUGAAAUGAUUGUUUUAGCAGAAGGCACUGUCUCCGGCGACGACCACAUUUUCCCUUUUUAUUUUAUUUAUUUUAUUUUUGCUGUUAAGGUUUGGGUUUUUCUAUUAUUAUUUUUUUUUUUGAGAAAAAUAUAUAUAAUACGAUUGGUCAAAAAGAAGAGGAAAAGCAGAUGCCCGAAAUUUCGAGAAGAGAAACUGUAAAGCUGUUAUAUGCGACACAACCUGUCAAGCUUAGUGCUGAAUUGGGCCUAAAAUUGAGAAAAUUGUACUCUAUACCCUUUUUAUAUUGUCCUCUUUUAUUUUUACCUUCUUUUUUAAAAUCUAUCAUUUUUACCUCUUUUUUUAAACAUUGUACCAAUUUUGCCCCUAUCACUUCAAGAUACUCUCCAUGUGAUUCUCUUAUGUAAGGAUAUUUUGGGUACAAUACAUAUAAAAAGAGGUAUGUUUCAAAUAAAUAUAAAAUUAGAGGUAAAUUUGAUUAAUUGAUGAAUAAAAGAGGCAUUUUUCAACUUACCCCCCUAAAAUUUGCUGAAGCCGGUUUCUUAGGCCCAAGAGAUAUAAGUACUAAUUCGUUUUAUGGUAUUUAAUAUGCUAUAUAUAUAAAGUAGAUUUUUAAAUCCCAUAUUUAAUGUUUUAAUUUGUUUAGGUAGUUUUAUGUCACUGGUGCCAGAAAAGUCGCCAGAGUUUGCUGUCGGUGCUAGAAAAAUUAUUGGAGUAGCUAUCGGUGCCGGAAAAGUCGUCAGAGUUGGUGUCGAUGCCAAAAAAUUUGUCUAAAUUGCAUUGUCGCUGGAAAAAUCAAUAAAAAAAUCAUCAAGAAACUAGUUUCUUGCAGAAGAAACCACUUUUUCGGUGAUUUUUCCGAUGACAAUGCCAAUGCUGACGACUUUUCUGACACUAGCAGCUACUCCGAUGACUUUUCCGGCACUGACAGUAAACUUUAAAAAAGUCAUUGGAAUUGGCAUAGUCGCCGGAAAAUGUUUCUUGGUGAUUUUUUCGGUGAUUUUUCUGACGACAAUACCAAUUCUGAUGACUUUUAUGGCAUCGGCAACAACUCCAACGACUUUUCCGACAUCGACAGCUACUCCGGUGACUUUUCCAGUACCAAGAGCAAACUCCAAAAAAUUCAUCGGAAUUGGCUUUUGUCGCCAGAAAAAUUACUGGAAAAAUCACCAAGAAAUCAUUUUUUGGUGAUUUUUUUAGCGAUAAUGCCAAUUCCGAUGACUUCUCUGGUGCUGGCAGCAACUCCGACGACUUUUUCGAUGCCGACAGCAACUCCGACAAUUUUUCUGACGCCGACAGGAAACUCUGGUGCCUUUACUGGCACCGAUGACAACUUCGGCGAUCACAGUAGUUUCAUUUGUUCUAUUUUUUUUUAAAAAAAAAAAUAUGAAGGAAAUUUUAAUACCUUUUAUGGUAAUUUAAUCCCAUAUAUGUUAAAUUUUUAUUUUAAUUUUCAUAUUUUUUCCUAUUAAGUUUCCUUACCACAUUUAUGUAAACUAGCUUUAUGUUUUCCAUAUUUAUAGAAUUACCAUAUAUAAAUAUUAAAUUUUGUACAA